rnacentral:pre_miRNA from 1 species
UAUGCACCGGUGGGGUCCCUCAGCCUGGCCUGCACCCUCUCACAAUCUGGGACCCCUCAGGGGAUGUCGGAGAGUUGGUUUUGACCCGAUCCCCGCAGGCCAGGCUGAGGGACCCCACCGGUAUAUG